UCUAAUUUCUCCAAACUCUCCACUCGCCUCUGGUAAACCCUAGUUGUCAUAGCCCUAAUCUUCUCCGAUUCCAAACCAAACAUGGAAUCAAUCCAGGAUUUACUUACCUACUUUGUGAUAUUCUGCUAUUAUACGCAUGUCUAUGAUGUUACUUAGUUCUUUCCCUAUUUUUGGCAAGAAUUACUUCUAAAAAACGGGACCGAUUUACCUUGAUUUUUUGAAGAUCUAGAUGACCUUUUCUCUAAAUACACGCUACAAUGAAUGAUUCUUUCAUUAUUAGUUCAAUUCAAGGUCGUUAGACCCGACUAGGAUUUGACAUUUUUUUUUUUACUAAUUUUCGAUUGCAAGUGAUAUUCUUUCCUUUCUUGUGUUUGACUGAUAUUUUUUCCUUGUUUGUGUGUUUAAUUUCGCUACUAUAUAAACCCCUCCCUAAUUUCUUUUGAAUAGACCUAAGGUCACUGCUAUUGCACUCAAUAUAUUUUCCUCACCCGUUCAUCUUCUCUGAAAUACUUGGCUCUUUGGCCGUUUGAAGGCCAAGGCCAUAAUAUUAUCAACCUCCUCUGGUACAGCACUGCUCGGGGCCAUGACGAGGCUCUUGUGAACUCUGAAGCAUCGGAGAUCUGGGGUUCUUGCUACCAGUAUUCUAAGUCCCUUAUUAUUCUUUUGCUCGUUUAAUUUCGUUGUGGUUAGUUUCCUUAACUCUUGCAAUGUUAACUGUUCUCCUUCUACUUAUCUCUAUGUGUUCUAUGUGUUAGUAAUGGUUGAUCUUAUAAGCAUGAUUCAGUUUCUUCGUUAUUUAUGAGUACCUGAUGUUGUACUAUCAUGAUAUUGUUCUACAAUUCCCUGUAAUUCCAUGUUCAUUGUUAGUUAAAUUCAUUAGGUUCCAGCAUAUGUGAAGAUGUUUUCAUUACUAGAAAGGAUGCCAGCUUUUCUUAGUUUGAUUUAGAUUAAUGUGUGUUCUCUGCUACGCCCUACAUUUCUAUAUUGAUAUUCUAGACUUUGUGAAGUUUUUUGUCCAAUAAGAUAGACCUCUGCGACUAUGUUGAUUAGCUGAAGCACAUUUCCAUUCAAGCUCUAUUGCAUGUUUGGUUUAGGAUGAAUUCUAGGAUAAAAAUUGCUAUAUUACUCCUUCCUGCUUCUAGGCAACUGGAUGCAAAUAGAUAGGCUUACUUGUCUCAUUCCCUUUUUAAAUGCUGCAUGAUCUUCUGAGUUAUGACACUGCUGAGGUUUUUAGUAAGACAUUGCUAUUAGUGUUUCCAUGCUGCAUAUGAUCACUCUCGUAGGGAAUUGCAUAUCUCUCUGACAAUAACUGUUCAGUAUAAGGCACACUUGUUUAGAAUCUAUCUCUGCCACAUGUUGGUUAACGUUUGGAUUCCUGGGAAUCAGUAUAUGUAUGUUUGUCCUUUAAACUUGUCUUCCUCAGCCUUUUUAAUGAGUUCAGCAUGCUACAUCCUCUUCUCUGUUGAAUAAUUACUCGAUUAUGAACUUAUAUUAUUAUUUUUCUAUGUCAAACUCGCCCUGUUAAGAGCUUUACUGAUUCUCCUUGUCCUCACGUUCAAAAUCCCCCUUUGUUUCUAACAUAUAAGUUCUAAUGUUCCUUGUGUGAGUCAUGUCAAUGUUUAUGAUUAUAUAUCCAUGUCCUAAAACCAUUGUUAGUAGGUUUCAUAGUUUUUUACUUGAUUGUCAUGUAUAGUUUGUUAAUUGGUGUGGUUAAGUUCUGCAUCUGUUGUUGCUGGGUAAGAAGGUCUUCCCUUUGGCCUAGUGUGGAUUCUUGUGUGAGUUUGAGUUAAGAAAUUAAUAUACUUUGAGGUUUUGGGUGUAUUUGGACCUAGGUUUGCUGCACGUAUGAGGGAAGAGCCUACUGAAGGCCCAGCUUUACUGGGUUACAGUCUUUCGGCUUGCUAUGUGUACUGAACCUGUAAUCUUUUAAUAUAUGGAAUUCAUACUUGUAUUCAUUAAUUUUGGGUCUGUAAUAAUUUUAUAAUUGAAUAUAUGGGGAGAUUAGUAAAAAG
rnacentral:lncRNA from 1 species